rnacentral:rRNA from 1 species
CCUACGGGUGGCAGCAGUGAGGAAUAUUGGUCAAUGGGCGAGAGCCUGAACCAGCCAAGUCGCGUGAGGGAGUACUGCCCUAUGGGUUGUAAACCUCUUUUGUCGGGGAGCAAAAGCCGGACGUGUCCGGCUGUGAGAGUACCCGAAGAAAAAGCAUCGGCUAACUCCGUGCCAGCAGCCGCGGUAAUACGUAGGUGGCAAGCGUUGUCCGGAAUUACUGGGUGUAAAGGGAGCGUAGGCGGGAUGUCAAGUCAGAAGUGAAAAUUAUGGGCUCAACUCAUAACCUGCUUUUGAAACUGAUAUUCUUGAGUGAAGUAGAGGCAAGCGGAAUUCCUAGUGUAGCGGUGAAAUGCGUAGAUAUUAGGAGGAACACCAGUGGCGAAGGCGGCUUGCUGGGCUUUUACUGACGCUGAGACUCGAAAGCGUGGGGAGCAAACAGGAUUAGAUACCCUAGUAGUC